GUACUCUCUUCAGCAGCAUGUAUACUAAAAUUGAAACAAUACAGAAAAAAUCAUCAUGGCCCAUGCACAAGGAUGAUGAUGCAUAAAAUUGUGAAGCAUUCAGUAUUGUU